rnacentral:lncRNA from 10 species
GGGGGUGGGUAAGUGGGGAAGAGGCCCAGGAGAGCCGCAGGGUGCCCGGGGAUGAGGACACUUAUUGGUGAGAGGUGCUGGGUUCACAUCUGUCUACUUUGCAUCCAGCUGUGGGGCGUCUAUUCACCCAUCCAUCCAUCUAUCCAUCCAAUCAUACCUGCAUGUGUGCAUGAACACAUGCAUACAUCAUACCCAUGUGCAUUCAUCCCAUCCGUCUAAUGCAAACAUGCACACGUACAAUUAUACAUGCAUACACCAUACGCACAUACAUCAUGCCUGCAUUUACCCAUCGAUAUGAUCAUACAUACAUCAUACACAUAUUCAUCCACCCAUCUAAUACAAACAUGCACACGUACAGUUAUACAUAUAUACACCAUACGCACAUAUAUCAUACACAUUCAUCCAUCCAUC